UGGGGAAUAUUGCACAAUGGGCGCAAGCCUGAUGCAGCAACGCCGCGUGAGGGAUGACGGCCUUCGGGUUGUAAACCUCUUUUAGCAGGGAAGAAGCGAAAGUGACGGUACCUGCAGAAAAAGCACCGGCUAACUACGUGCCAGCAGCCGCGGUAAUACGUAGGGUGCAAGCGUUGUCCGGAAUUAUUGGGCGUAAAGAGCUCGUAGGCGGUCUGUCGCGUCUGCUGUGAAAUCCCGAGGCUCAACCUCGGGCCUGCAGUGGGUACGGGCAGACUAGAGUGCGGUAGGGGAGAAUGGAACUCCUGGUGUAGCGGUGGAAUGCGCAGAUAUCAGGAAGAACACCGAUGGCGAAGGCAGUUCUCUGGGCCGUAACUGACGCUGAGGAGCGAAAGCGUGGGGAGCGAACAGGAUUAGAUACCCUGGUAGUCCACGCCGUAAACGUUGGGCGCUAGAUGUGGGGCACCAUUCCACGGUUUCCGUGUCGCAGCUAACGCAUUAAGCGCCCCGCCUGGGGAGUACGGCCGCAAGGCUAAAACUCAAAGGAAUUGACGGGGUCAUAGCUG
rnacentral:rRNA from 1 species